GAGAGCGGAGCCUGGCUCCCGUAGGAUUCUGGACGAAGUUGCUCUCUAGUCAUGCCGGAGGUGGAGCCCGGCUCCCGUAGGAGUCCGAGCCUCUCGUUUCUGCUCGGGCUGGCGUGAGGUCCUCCUCGCAUUAUCAGCCUGAGCUUGUGGGGGCGCUUUAGGGUGCUGUGGGGUCUCUCCCCCAUCCGAUCUAGAAGAACCGGGUCUUCGACUUUGCUCAAGUUAGGGCGAGGUUCUCCUCCUGUCCCUAACAGGGCUGUGGGGGCACAUAUGGGCGUUGUAAGGCCUCUCCCCCCAUCCGAUCUAAAGGAACCGGGCCUUCGACUUUGCUCAAGUUAGGGCGAGGUUCUCCUCCUGUCCCUAACAGGGCUGUGGGGGCACAUAUGGGCGUUGUAAGGCCUCUCCCCCCAUCCGGUCUAAAGGAACCGGGCCUUCGACUUUGCUCAAGUUAGGGCGAGGU
rnacentral:lncRNA from 1 species